AGGCUAAAAAGUCUGCUAAUAAACAGUUCAAAGUUAUGUACAUUAAAUAAUAUUUUAUUACUAAAACUAAGAAAAACGAGAUGAAAAGCAAAUAUAAAAGAGAAUUAUUUACAACCACAAAGUACUUAUAUAUAAUUAGGAAAUUUACAACACAUAACCGUUACAGAGAACUAUCUCUGUGUUACUAUAUACAAUCUCAAGGUAUAUAGGUAAUGACUGAAGCUGCUGAAGGGAGUGCGGGAUGGCUUCAGCAGUUUUAAAGAUAUCCAUCAAGUGAUUAAUAAAAAUAAAUCUUUGAAGAGUAAAACUGUUACAAGUAAAGAAAAUAUGAUCCAAGGUAGGUAAUGUAAUAAAAUAGAGGAAGAAGAACCACUCUGCAAUUUUACAAGAAGAGGAUGAUUUUUAAUGGAUGAAAUUCUCAACAAAAACCUGUAUAUUAAAUAUUUAAAGCGAAUUUUCAAAGGAGGGAUGUUACAUUCAACCUGCAUUGAUAUUAUGGGUGUGGAACACAUCGCACCAAGCACAAUCCAGCUGAUGUCCAAGCCCAGAUCAUCAUAAUAGGCCUUAAGGCCAAGGAGAGCAACUCUGAGAUUUUCAAUAGCUGCAGACAACUUGUCUGCAGUACAAUAUAUAGUUAAGUCAUCUACAAACUGUAGGUAAUUGUAAAGAAGUUAAAAUAAUUGAAAGUUUUUCCAAAUUGACAUUAUUAUAUGCGCCAACAACAUCAAAGAAAAUACCAACCAAUAUUGAAUUACAAGACAGAGCAUUGUGAAUGUCCAAACAAAAAUGACUCAAGCUCUCUCUAGCCGAACGGCCACGCCGAAAACCGAACUGAUUACUAGAUUCGUGUGAAGAGGAAAACUUUCAAAUGUCUGUGGCAAGUUACUAUGGGGAGAGAAUGAUGGAGAAAGAUUCAAUGUUGUCAGAGUUGGUAAAUGAUAACUACCUAACGAGUCUGAAGAAACUUGCCAUUCACAAAAUAAUGCUAACGACGCCGAAACAAAAGUCAAAUCUAGUGCAUUUGGCUUCCAUCUAUGCGACCCUACAGUGGUUGGACGUCCAUCAUUCAAGAGAACCAAAUCAUUCUCAUCAGCGACAUCAACAAUAUCUCUCCCUCGCGCGUCAACUUUGCCGCAACCCCAUAAAGUAUGAUGCGCGUUAAAGUCUCCAGCCAAAAUUAUCGGUUUCGGAAUAGUCUGUAUUAAAUCAUUAAAUUUUUUCUUAUUAAAUUCAGGAGUACAGCUUCCUGGGCUGUAAAAACUUACAAUCGAAAUUUGUUUCUGAAAAAUUUGAAUCUGAACAACAAUAUUUUGUAAAGAAUCAUCAUAAAAUGUAUUAAUUUUGUUAUAGACUAUAGUGUUAUGAAUUAAUAUGGCUACUCCAUUGUGAUUAUUACCACAGUCAUUUCUCACAAUAGAGUAUCCUUUCAUGUUAAAUGUGAUAUGUGGUUUGAGCCACGUUUCACUAAUUAUACAAAUGUGGAUGGAAUUAUCUAAUAGAAAUUUUUGUAGUUCAUAUUUAUUACUUGGCAAGCUUUGACUGUUCCAUUGCAUAAUAUUUACUUGGGCAGAGAAUGUGAAAGAUUGUUAUUUUUUUCUUUUAUAGUUUCUUUGAUUGUUUCUGAAAGAAGCUGUGAGUUUAUGCUUGCAUUUUGAGUCUUGUUCAGAGUAAUAGCUUUAAUUAAACAUUCUGUGAGUAACGUAAGUGCGUUUUUAUUUGAGAGAAGUACAUUUAAUAAGUCUUUACUAUUUGUGUUUUCAUUCAAUGAAGGGAAAUUUUGUAAUUUAUUAUUAAAAAGGUCUGCAUAUGAUGUAGUUGUA